AAUGCAAUAAUGAGCAGAAAUAUAUGUGAGGGAAAGAAUACACAAGAAGUCAUUGUUUAAAAAUUUCACUUAAUGUUGAAGCCAUAUCGCUUACAAUUUAAAUCGACAUUUCUAUGAUAGGCUUGCUUCAAGGAAAGCCACUGUUCUCAGAUGGUUGUUCUCUAGAGGCUCCUUAAAGAUUCACAUCAAAUAAAUGCCUCAGACCCAUAGCUAAAUCCUUAAUAUCACGGCAUUUUCACUCCAAAGACACACAGUAUUAAUUCUGAUCUAAGCACUAAUUAUCUUUCCACAGGAACGCCAUUCCCGCUGGCAACACUUCUUUCCUCUUAAAGGGGCUUUUUGUUUAGCUGUGAUUCUCAACAGCUCCUCCUAAUCCAGUUGAAACACCCAUUAAGAUGUUCUCCUUACUUGUUAUGCAGGAAAUUUUUCAUGACAAGGAAUUUUAAGUACUGAUAUAUUCAUUAAAAAAAAAAUCGACAGCCAAGGGAUAUUCCUAAGAAAUGUCAUCUCAUUUAUAAAUUCUCCCUACUAUGACAACCAUGUGCUAUUUUCUAUAGCAGUACGAUAAUCAAAUAUCCUAAAACACUACCAAAUUUAUACCUACUAAGAGAAAUAACAAUACUCAACUUAAAAUUUUAUUUAAAGUACUACACAAAAAUACUCUAGGUGAGCAUGGUGCCUGGGGGAGACAGCAGACUUCCGUGGUGACAAACCAGAUGCAAGGCAGACUAUACCAAAUGUAUUAAAAGAUCCCAGAAUAUUCUAAGACUAACUCCAGAAGGGCAGCAGGGAGAACAGUGAUGACAUCUCAGACAUGGUGGUCGCCAUGGG
rnacentral:lncRNA from 1 species